rnacentral:lncRNA from 1 species
CAUAUGAGGAAUGUGUAACACCUCAAAAUUUGCCCUCCUCAUUCAUGCAUUCAUUUAGCAUUUCAUAUUGCAUUUCAUCAUGUCAAUCAGAAUUAGAUCCAAGAAACUUUAUUUAAAUAAAUAAAUAAAAAAAUAAAUAAAUAAAUAAAUAAAAAAAAUAAUAAAAAAAUAAAUAAAAAAUAAUAGAAAAAACUUGGACUUGGACCUCUCUCAUUUGAGCCCACAAAGCCAUGAAAAUCAGGUUAUAAAAGAGGGAGAUCAGACAGAAAA